GGGGGAGUUCCCGAGUGGUCAAAGGGAACGGACUGUAAAUCCGUUGGUGUUUACCUUCAGAGGUUCGAAUCCUCUCUCCCCCACCA
rnacentral:tRNA from 2 species